GGUGCACACCAGGAUGCUAACUUCCUGUAGCAUUUUGGUCACUUGUGUCUUUAUCACCCAAGGCAGCAGGUGAGUUGAAAGAGUCCUGUUAUUCAGUAGGCAGCUAUUCGAUUUUAUCAGUAAGUCAAUGGCUUUGGAUCUGCUGUGGAGGAGCUGACAGAUUGUGACCAAUGAGGUUUAUAUGCUUGUAGGACAAAUGUGUCCCCAGGAGAGGCUGGCCAAUCUCCUCUGACAUUUGCUUGGGGACCACAGAGAAACAUCACUGUCCAAGGUAUUUGGUCUCUUCUUGUAUCCUAGGCCACUAGGGGCUGCUCCUGGGGAGAGUCGCCACACCAAUGGGUCCUUUGGAGGUGUGAGGGUGUGAGGCAGAUAGCAUGGCCCUCUCCACCAGAAGGUUCAACUUGCUGACUCAGCCGCCUUUCCCAUCCCUCUGGCUUGUCACUACACUCAGUAGAAGACUUGUGCAACCAUCAGGUGCAAACUCCAGUGUCACCAAAGGGACACCUUCUGAUUAAAUGGAGCCAUCUUGCUGUAGGGGCUGUCUGAAUAUCAGAGGGAUAUCGAGGGGGUCCAUUAAUACUCCUAAGUUCCCGUGAAAUUCACCCCUUUUCUUUGAAAGCCAUAAGACAACAGUUAAGGGUACUUGGGCUGCUGCGAUGGCUGUGUGUGUCUGUGAUGGGAAAUGCUGGUUGCCAAGCAGCGGGGAAUGGACAUAAUCAUGCUGCCUAGCAACAGCGGCAACAUGGUCACUCUCGUAGAUUUCUGCACCUCUUCUUGUUUGGUUUAUAGGAAAAUGCAGAUGGCUUCUGAGGGCCACUGUCAGCGCUGGGCACAAUGUGAUAUCGGAGAAGAUUAUGAGCCAGAGUGUUUCGCACCCCCUUUAGUAACAAGGAGCCAUGGAGUCGUGGUGGGAGAAGAUGGGGGAAUGAUGAUACCAAGGGGAUAAAACAUCAGCCCAGAGAGCUUCGGGAGGGAGGCGGAGGAAAGCAGUCUCCAAGCCCAGCGCUGCAGGCACGUGUUCCCCAGCCCGCUUGCUCCUGGUACCUCCUGACGCCAAGGAGGGUGAUGAAUUUGGUUUCCACCAACAUUAAACUGAUAAAUGAAAUUUAUCUGUUAAAACAAUGAUAAUUUAAUUGUCUUCUCUUCCCUUCAUUCCCAGCCACACUGCUCUCUCACUCCCUUCCUCUCUAUUGGUGCUUCAGCUCCAGGGAAGUGUGGUGAAGGCUUCCUUCCGGGAGGGGCAGGCUUUGCAAGCUGUCGGUUUGCAUUGUGCGGACAGGGAAAGGUCUCUACCUGGCUCAUUUUGUCCCUCUGCUAAGGCUGUCACUGCUGACAGUCCUCAUGUUUAU
rnacentral:lncRNA from 1 species